rnacentral:rRNA from 1 species
CACCUACCUACUAACAGGAGUAUAGCUCGGGGAAACUCGAAUUAACCCUCCAUAGUAUAAUUGAAUGGCAUCAUUUGAUUAUUAAAACUGAGGUGGUUAUAGAUGGGCAUGCGUCUGAUUAGCUAGUUGGCGGGGUAAUGGCCCACCAAGGCGAUGAUCAGUAGGGGAACUGAGAGGUUGAUCCCCCACACUGGCACUGAGAUACGGGCCAG